AAUUUUUUCGUUCUUUAGUUUAAAAAAUUUGGAUUCUAUUUACUUAAAAUGUUUGUAAUUUCCGAAGUCUUAGUGGAUUCUAUUUACUUAAAAUGUUUGUUUGUUUGUAAUUUUAAUUUGGAUGUAGGAGACAAUAGGUCACUUGAGCAAAUUCCUAUUGCUUGCAAAGAUGCAAUAGUAAUUUUGUUUAUGUUUGAUCUUACUAGCCGGUGUACUCUAAAUAUUGUUAUUGGAUGGUACAAUCAAGCAAGAAAGUGGAAUCAAACGGCAAUUCCUAUACUAAUCGGGACCAAAUUCGAUUUG